rnacentral:lncRNA from 1 species
AUGAUUAUUUUGAACUUACUAUUUUCCCCAAAGUUGAGCCCCAUGGGUCGGAUUGGUGUCUUCAGUUCUUCUUCCAUUGUUUUUCAUGGGAUUAGGAGGAAUACCCUUCCGGCUUUCCAUUGUGAUCUGUGAGUUCCAAAUUUUCUUCUGUUUAAUCACAAAGCAAACAAAUGGGUCAUCUUUCAAGAUUUGAUGACUAACCCAAAGAUUUUCUUUUUAUUUCCAAAACAUGUAAACUGAUGGUGGAUCUUGGGGGGGGGGGGGUUCUCGAAUGAGCACUGAAUGACUGUUGUCAGCCAAUCCUUUACUGGGUCUUCUAAGGAGAUUCGGGUCAUCAUAUACUUUUGUCCUCCUUUUAGUUUCCAAAUUCACUAGCUGAGCUGGUGACAGGGUUUGGUGGCCACUGAUCAUGAAAGCCAAAGGGCCAUUGCCUGGGCUUCAUAGACUCACAUAUUUGAGUUUGAUAAGACAUGUUUAUCUAUUUUACCCUUUUCUUUAUUAUACCAAAAGAUUUUGGUUCAUGGUCAACCAUCAUCACCCAAGGGACUGUGUCAUGUCAAUGACUUGAUUUGUGGGUUACCACUUGUUUCAAGCUUAAUAGACUUCCAUUGACUUCCUCUUCAUCAAUCUUUUUUGUUUGACAUUAGCUUGUUUAACCAGAGGUUCAAAAGCCACCCAUUUCUUUUCUGAUCAUUCCUUUUUGCAAUAUAGCACAACUUAGUUUCUUUCACAACAGGCAAACGAGCAAGCUUUGUCUACUGUUGGAAAACUAAACAUAAAUAGCGGACACUUGAACCCCAAUUGUGUAUCAUUAGUACUCUUGUUUAAGAUGGAAGUACUUGUUGGUUCCAAAUUAGGUCUGCUAUUGGACCUCGUGCAUUUUCAGCCGUAUAUAACAUAUGCAUGUAACUGUACUAGUAAGGUAAAAUCUACCUAGGGAAUAGAGUUGAGCUAGAGAUAUUUCUAAUUGUCAUGUAUGCUGGUGAUUAUGAAACAUGGAGUUUGUUCGUCCAUUUCAGUAAUCCACCUACACAAAUGAGAGCAAAUUUAUCCAAAAUUAGACUAGAAAUGUGAUAAUAUUAUAUUGAUUCCUAGCAGAUAGACUCAUACAUCCUUCGUUGAUCGUAAAUCCAGAUCAUCCCCCACAAAAGAAGAUACUGAGAAAGAUGGAGAAAGAUACUACAACU